rnacentral:rRNA from 1 species
AGGAAUAUUGGUCAAUGGGCGGGAGCCUGAACCAGCCAAGUCGCGUGAGGGAUUAAGGCCCUACGGGUCGUAAACCUCUUUUGCCGGGGAGCAGGGCGGCGGACGUGUCCGCCGUUUGAGAGUACCCGGAGAAAAAGCAUCGGCUAACUACGUGCCAGCAGCCGCGGUAAUACGUAGGUGGCGAGCGUUAUCCGGAAUCAUUGGGCGUAAAGAGGGAGCAGGCGGCCUGGAGGGUCUAUUGUUAAAAGGCAGUGGCUUAACCAUUGCAAGGCGAAGAAACCGGCAGGCUAGAGUUCUAAAGAGGAUCGUGGAAUUCCAUGUGUAGCGGUGAAAUGCGUAGAUAUAUGGAGGAACACCAGUGGCGAAGGCGACGAUCUGGGAAGAAACAGACGCUGAGUCCCGAAAGCGUGGGGAGCAAAUAGG